rnacentral:rRNA from 1 species
UACGUAGGGAGCAAGCGUUGUCCGGAAUCAUUGGGCGUAAAGCGCGCGUAGGUGGCUUCGUAAGUCCGUUGUGAAAGUCAAAGGCUCAACCUUUGAAAGCCGAUGGAUACUGUGAAGCUAGAGUACGGAAGAGGCGAGUGGAAUUCCUGGUGUAGCGGUGGAAUGCGCAGAUAUCAGGAAGAACACCAACGGCGAAGGCAGCUCGCUGGGACGGUACUGACGCUGAGACGCGAAAGCGUGGGGAGCGAACAGG